UACGUAGGUGGCAAGCGUUGUCCGGAUUUACUGGGCGUAAAGGGCGUGCAGGCGGUUUGUUAAGUGCAGGGUGAAAGCUCCCGGCUCAACUGGGAGAGGUCCUUGCAUACUGGCGAACUCGAGGGAGGCAGAGGAAAGUGGAAUUCCCGGUGUAGUGGUGAUAUGCGUAGAUAUCGGGAGGAACACCGGUGGCGAAGGCGGCAUCCUGGACCGGUAUUGACGCUGAUGCGCGAAAGCCAGGGGAGCAAACGGG
rnacentral:rRNA from 1 species